AUUGAACGCUGGCGGCAGGCUUAACACAUGCAAGUCGAGCGGGGAAAUGUAGCUUGCUACAUUACCUAGCGGCGGACGGGUGAGUAAUGCUUAGGAAUCUGCCUAUUAGUGGGGGACGACAUUCCGAAAGGAAUGCUAAUACCGCAUACGUCCUACGGGAGAAAGCAGGGGACCUUCGGGCCUUGCGCUAAUAGAUGAGCCUAAGUCGGAUUAGCUAGUUGGUGGGGUAAAGGCCUACCAAGGCGACGAUCUGUAGCGGGUCUGAGAGGAUGAUCCGCCACACUGGGACUGAGACACGGCCCAGACUCCUACGGGAGGCAGCAGUGGGGAAUAUUGGACAAUGGGCGGAAGCCUGAUCCAGCCAUGCCGCGUGUGUGAAGAAGGCCUUUUGGUUGUAAAGCACUUUAAGCGAGGAGGAGGCUACUAGUAUUAAUACUACUGGAUAGUGGACGUUACUCGCAGAAUAAGCACCGGCUAACUCUGUGCCAGCCGCCGCCGUAAGAC
rnacentral:rRNA from 1 species